CACGUAGGGUGCAAGCGUUGUCCGGAAUUAUUGGGCGUAAAGGGCUCGUAGGCGGUCCGUCACGUCGGGAGUGAAAACUCGGGGCUCAACCCCGAGCCUGCUUCCGAUACGGGCGGACUAGAGGUAGGUAGGGGAGAACGGAAUUCCUGGUGUAGCGGUGAAAUGCGUAGAUAUCUGGAGGAACACCGGUGGCGAAGGCGGCAUCCUGGACCAAUUCUGACGCUGAGUGAGCGAAAGCCAGGGGAGCAAACGGG
rnacentral:rRNA from 1 species